rnacentral:lncRNA from 1 species
UCAAAACAGCAUGCAGUAAUCGAUUUCGUUUGCGGCCGACGCUGUCACCUCACCUAAGUCGGUCAUGGCAACGUUUGCCAUGGUAAAGCCCCUCCAUACGCGUUUUCGCCGAGCAAAAGCGGCGGCGGCGCGUGGAUGGAGGGGCUUUGGGCCAUGGUAGCAUCGCGAUGAACCAUCGAAUUAAAGUAUCCGCUGAAUAAGCUCAUAAAUCUACGUUCCAUGCUGAGUAAAGUUACAAUAACUUAAAAAUCAUCGCGUUA